CAGCAGCCACGGGAAUACGGAGGGGGCUAGCGUUGUUCGGAAUUACUGGGCGUAAAGCGCACGUAGGCGGCUUGGUAAGUUAGAGGUGAAAGCCCGGAGCUCAACUCCGGAAUUGCCUUUAAGACUGCCGAGCUAGCAGGUGAGAGAGGUAAGUGGAAUUCCGAGUGUAGAGGUGAAAUUCGUAGAUAUUCGGAAGAACACCAGUGGCGAAGGCGGCUUACUGGCUCAUACUGGACGCUGAGGUGCGAAAGCGUGGGGAGCAAACAGGAUUAGAUACCCGUGUAGUCCCUGUCUCUUAUAC
rnacentral:rRNA from 1 species